UGGUGUUCAAGCAUGGACGAGAUAAUCAAGGAGGCGCUUUGACAUUGGCUAGCCACGGGUUGGAGAGGCUGUGGAUGAGAAAAUCGUAAGGGAGGACCACCCAUUGGGCUCGGAGGAGAGAGAUUCCCUACACGCCGUCUCUUUGGAAUAUUAAUGGGCUUCUCCUGGGAAAACUGCCCACAGAAUAGGCCACUCCAUCGCUGUCUCUGUUUCCGCUCAGCUGUCCUGAGGAAUAUAUUACAGCUUUUAUUACACAAUAAAAAGCACAGGAACGAUUACAUUUAUGAUGUCAAAUUCCUCAGUCUCAAUUUUAUAACCGCAAUCAAU
ensembl:lncRNA